UCGGCUUUUGCUUCCUGCACCCUUGUUUACUUCCUGCACCUCCCAGUUUUACAAAAUGGUCAUACUAACCUUGUCUUCCUCAGUUGUCCAUAGCUUGUUUUCCACACUUCUUCAUGCCUGAAACAUUGUCUUGUUCAUUUUGUGUAAGCAUUUUGGUUGCACAGGUUCACUUGCACAGGUGAGUUAUUAAUUGUCUUGUUUUUUCAAAAUGAAUUUUCAAGAUAGGUCUAGAUCAACAAAUCCGAAAUUAAAAUCAUAAAAGUAACAUAAUUUUGGAUCAAAUAAUCCGAAAAUGUAACAUAUUUCCAAAUUAGAUAAUUUGGAUUUGUUCUUGUACAAGUACACAUUUAUUGAUCUCGAAAUUAUUUGUAUUUGUUAAUUAGUCUAGAUCAAAUCAAAUCCCAAAUUAUACAGUUAUAAUUUCGAAUUGUUUGAUCCAAAUUGAGUGUUUUUGUUUCUCAGAUCAACUAAUCCAGAAUUUCUAAACAACAUUUCUGAAUUGCCCGAUCCAAAAAUUAUAUUAUAUUCUGGAUCAAGGGAAUUUGGAAUCGUUGCUUUAAAAUUAUGAAUUAGUCAAUUUGGUGUAGUAUUUUUAAAAUUCUGGAUAAAUCAAUCUGGUGUAUUAUUUUUCAUUUGCUUCUCGGGAAGGUUGGAAAUGAAACUUCUUACUCAUUUAAAAAUAUAUCUAGAGACCUUUCAAAUCCUAGAUAUAAAAUAUAAUCAAUAUAUAAUUAUAAAAUUAUAUGAUUGUGUUUGUGUCUAUUAUGUGCUUGUAAUCAAUAUACGUUUAACCUCUGGAUUUGAAAUUACUAUUUAUAUAUCUGGUAUUGACCAUAAUUUACAAGAAUAUUCUGUAGUCUUAGUAAGAGAGGAGAGGGUUAAAGAUUUACCUGAUAUGUAUGUAUUAUAAUACUCAAACAUUCAUUCAUAUCCACGUACAAAUUCACCUAAUAUUAUAUUCAAACUAUUUUAAUUGAGACUCUAUUUUCAUUUCAAUUUGCUAAUUACAACUACGGAUAAAUUAAUCUGAAAUAAUGUAAAUCAAAUUGGAAAUUUGUUUUGGAUUGAUUUAUUCAUAAUUUAUUUUAAUGUUAUGGAUCAGUUAAUCUAUAACAGAUUUUUAGAUUGAUUACAUUAUUUAACAACAAUCAAUCCGUAAUUAAAUAACGCAAUUUGAAAAUAUAUUUCAAAUUGCAUGAUCCGUAAAAUUACAAAUGUUACGAAUCAUGCAAUCCAGAAUAAAUUUUUGGAUUGACUGUCCAACUAGAAAUAGCUUGAUCCAAACACCACCAAACAACAAUCCAGAUUAAGCUAUUCAGAUGUAUCACAUAAAAUAAACAAAAGAAAAGGAAAAAUGAAGAUUCUCGUUACGGAUCGCUUGAUCCAAAUACAACAAAACACAAUCUGAAUCAAGCUAUCCAAAAAUAUUACAAAAGAUAAAAAAGGGGAAAAGCAAUCUCGAACUUACCUCUUGGAUCCUUGUCGAAGUGGGUGAUUCUUCACUCCUUCUACUCACAAACACGUUGAAGAAAACAAAAAUGCAAGAAGUAGUGGAGGUAUAGGGCGGCAAAGAGGGGGGAAGAGGAGGUGUCGCGCGGUGCACAAGAAAACCAAAAAAGAAAGAAGCCUAGGUUAAGUUAAAAGGGUGAGGGGCAAAUUUGUUC
rnacentral:lncRNA from 1 species